GGUGACAUUGCUAAUUUGCUGCCUUGCUGUCAAAGGCGCCGGCUCUUCACUCUUGGUUUGCUCGCUUUGACUCCUCUUCAAGCUGUCAAGCAACAAAGCAGAAGACUUUGGUUCAAUUUCUGGGUUCUUCCUUCAAGCUCAAGAGUUGGAUUUGUUUUGGACCGGGAAGGAAGUUUGCAUUGUGUGAGCUUGCACUGUAGCAUUUGUGCCUUUUUGAGUAGUGGUGGCGUGCUUGUUUGUGUGUAGUCUGGAGUGGAAGUUGGGAUGCUACUGAGGAAGAGAAGCUGGAUUUCGAAGUAGUCCGGAAGAGGGGAGGUCUUAGGCAUUUGCAUUAUCAGUGAGAUGAGUAUAAAUGAUGAGUCCCAAUUUAUAUCUACGGAGGAAAGAGAAGAUGCAACAGGAAAUGUAUAAAGAGAUGAUUUGGCUUCUAGAAGAAAUCGGACGAAAGAAAAGAAAUUAUAUACAUAGCUCAGCAACUAUAGCAUGAAAUUCAAAGAGAACUUGUCUUUGCAUCAUUCCUUAAAGCUUUGUGCAGAAUUCCUUAAAGCUUUUCUAUAACCCGUUACAAGCAUGAAGCAUAUGUCUUUGGACUGGGCAAUAUAUGUUUGUCUUUGGACUGGACAAUAUAAGGACUAAUCUGCUGUCACUUUUGUACAAUGAAAAUUAGAAUUUCAUUGCAGUUCUUAAUUCUUUUCAGAUAAUUCAAGUAAUUCAUUCCGUGAGCUGUUUACUUGCAGGAACUUAAAAUGGGAAAGUCUGCAUAUUCAAGUAAGUUGCAUCUUGUUCUUUAUUAGAAUAGUGAGGGUCUUGGACUUCAGAGUAGUUAAAAGUGUACAUGGGUCACAAUAAUGGCUCAAGUUUAGUUCAAUACAAAGAAAAAAGAAAAAAAAAAAAAGUACCUUCUGAUUUUUGUCAAGUAUUUGGUGAAUACAACGAAUUAUUGCUUGAUGCUUGCAACUAUUACAAGUUACUGAUGCCAUUAGCACCUAGGAUCUUAGGUAUAAUUCGUCAUACAAAACAACCUUUGAUGCUUGCAACUACUGCAAAUUACAUAUUGAUGCCAUUAAUACCUAUCAAGCAUGUACACUGAGAUGUUGUUUUGUAUCAAUAAGUUUGAACCUUAUAAGCCGUCUAACUUGUUUUCUGAUGCUCUUCUAUUUUUUGGCAUAUCAUCUUUGAUACCAUUAACCCCUGUUUGGAGAUGAGUUUUUGUAGUUUCACUUUUAAGAAACUUUUAGUUGUGCCUUUUG